rnacentral:rRNA from 1 species
GACGAACGCUGGCGGCGUGCUUAACACAUGCAAGUCGAACGGAAAGGCCCUGCUUGCAGGGUACUCGAGUGGCGAACGGGUGAGUAACACGUGGGUGAUCUGCCUUGCACUUCGGGAUAAGCCUGGGAAACUGGGUCUAAUACCGGAUAGGAGCCAUUUUUAGUGUGAUGGUUGGAAAGUUUUUUCGGUGUAGGAUGAGCUCGCGGCCUAUCAGCUUGUUGGUGGGGUAAUGGCCUACCAAGGCGGCGACGGGUAGCCGGCCUGAGAGGGUGGACGGCCACAUUGGGACUGAGAUACGGCCCAGACUCCUACGGGAGGCAGCAGUGGGGAAGAUUGCACAAUGGGCGCAAGCCUGAUGCAGCGACGCCGCGUGGGGGAUGACGGCCUUCGGGUUGUAAACUCCUUUCGCUAGGGACGAAGCUUUUUGUGACGGUACCUAGAUAAGAAGCACCGGCUAACUACGUG